GUCACAGGUCCUAGCAGCACAGGACGUGGGAUAUGUAGGGUCAGCGGACGUCCUGCUGCUAGAGGCAGGCAGCCUAGGGGCAGAGGAAGGGGACGAGGUCGCGGUCGGAGAGGUCUUGACAGGAUAGGGCAAGAGGACAUGGCCCGUGUGGAAACACUCAGGAUUCAACGAAUCACAAAUGUGCAGGUUCCAAUCAGAAACCUGAACCUAGAAGCUUCCCACCAUCUGCUGGAGCUGUGUUUGGAACGAGAACCAUCCCUCAUCUUUGACCUCCUGUCCAUCCCUCAUCCCACAUCUGACCCACAACAGCCUGGUCCCAGUG
ensembl:lncRNA